CGUACACUCCUGCGGAGGCAGCAGUGGGGAAUAUUGGACAAUGGGCGCAAGCCUGAUCCAGCCAUGCCGCGUGAGUGAUGAAGGCCCUAGGGUUGUAAAGCUCUUUCACCGGUGAAGAUAAUGACGGUAACCGGAGAAGAAGCCCCGGCUAACUUCGUGCCAGCAGCCGCGGUAAUACGAAGGGGGCUAGCGUUGUUCGGAUUUACUGGGCGUAAAGCGCACGUAGGCGGACUAUUAAGUCAGGGGUGAAAUCCCGGGGCUCAACCCCGGAACUGCCUUUGAUACUGGUAGUCUUGAGUUCGAGAGAGGUGAGUGGAAUUCCGAGUGUAGAGGUGAAAUUCGUAGAUAUUCGGAGGAACACCAGUGGCGAAGGCGGCUCACUGGCUCGAUACUGACGCUGAGGUGCGAAAGCGUGGGGAGCAAACAGGAUUAGAAACCCCUGUAGUCCCAUGAU
rnacentral:rRNA from 1 species